rnacentral:rRNA from 1 species
AGGUAGGAAUACCCGCUGAACUUAAGCAUAUCAAUAAGCGGAGGAAAAGAAACCAACAGGGAUUGCCCUAGUAACGGCGAGUGAAGCGGCAACAGCUCAAAUUUGAAAUCUGGCUUCGGCCCGAGUUGUAAUUUGCAGAGGAUGUUUAUGGUGCGGUACCUUCCGAGUUCCCUGGAACGGGACGCCACAGAGGGUGAGAGCCCCGUCUGGUUGGAUACCAAACCUGUGUUAAACUCCUUCAACGAGUCGAGUAGUUUGGGAAUGCUGCUCUAAAUGGGAGGUAAAUCUCUUCUAAAGCUAAAUACCGGCCAGAGACCGAUAGCGCACAAGUAGAGUGAUCGAAAGAUGAAAAGCACCUUGAAAAGGGGGUUAAACAGUACGUGAAAUUGUUAAAAGGGAAGCGUUUAUGACCAGACUUGUGUCGUGUGGCUCAUCCGAGGUUCUCCCCGGUGCACUCCACACGGCUCAGGCCAACAUCGGUUCUCGUUGGGGGAUAAGAACAGUAGGAACGUAGCCCUCUUCGGCGGGUGUUAUAGCCUAUUGUACGAUACCCUGAUGGGGACCGAGGACCGCGCUUCGGCUAGGAUGUUGG